rnacentral:rRNA from 1 species
UGGGGAAUAUUGCGCAAUGGGCGAAAGCCUGAUGCAGCAACGCCGCGUGAGUGAUGAAGGUCUUCGGAUUGUAAAGCUCUGUCUUUUGGGACGAUAAUGACGGUACCAAAGGAGGAAGCCACGGCUAACUACGUGCCAGCAGCCGCGGUAAUACGUAGGUGGCGAGCGUUGUCCGGAUUUACUGGGCGUAAAGGGUGCGUAGGCGGAUGUUUAAGUGAGAUGUGAAAUACCCGGGCUUAACUUGGGUGCUGCAUUUCAAACUGGAUAUCUAGAGUGCAGGAGAGGAGAAUGGAAUUCCUAGUGUAGCGGUGAAAUGCGUAGAGAUUAGGAAGAACACCAGUGGCGAAGGCGAUUCUCUGGACUGUAACUGACGCUGAGGCACGAAAGCGUGGGUAGCAAACAGGAUUAGAUACCCUGGUAGUCCACGCCGUAAACGAUGAGUACUAGGUGUAGGAGGUAUCGACCCCUUCUGUGCCGCAGUAAACACAUUAAGUACUCC